UACGUAGGGUGCGAGCGUUGUCCGGAAUUAUUGGGCGUAAAGAGCUCGUAGGCGGUUUUGUCGCGUCUGCUGUGAAAACUGGAGGCUCAACCUCCAGCCUGCAGUGGGUACGGGCAGACUAGAGUGCGGUAGGGGAGAUUGGAAUUCCUGGUGUAGCGGUGGAAUGCGCAGAUAUCAGGAGGAACACCGAUGGCGAAGGCAGAUCUCUGGGCCGUAACUGACGCUGAGGAGCGAAAAGCAUGGGGGAGCGAACAGG
rnacentral:rRNA from 1 species